CAAAACCGCUUGAAGCUCCAGCGGAAAUCUGAUUCUGAAUCUGACGAGAAACUCUGUCUAACGUUAAUUUGUUUCCCUCUUGAGUUUUCUCCCCAACAUUUUCUGUAGUAGUGUAAGUAAAGUGUGUGU